ACUUGUAUAGUUUAAUGGUUAAAACAAUUGCCUCAUAUGCAAUUAAUAUUAGGUUCGACUCCUAUUACAGGUA
rnacentral:tRNA from 1 species